UCUCCUGUAGUUCAGUGGUUAGAAUACGACAUUGUCAGUGUCGGGACGCGAGUUCGAUUCUUGCCAGGAGAG
rnacentral:tRNA from 1 species